rnacentral:rRNA from 1 species
UACGAAGGGGGCUAGCGUUGUUCGGAAUUACUGGGCUUAAAGGGCGCGUAGGCGGGCUCGCCAGUCAGGGGUGAAAGCCCAUGGCUCAACCGUGGAAGUGCCUUUGAUACUGCGAGUCUCGAGGGAGGUAGGGGCGUGCGGAACUUCCGGUGGAGCGGUGAAAUGCGUAGAUAUCGGAAGGAACAUCGGUGGCGAAAGCGGCGCGCUGGACCUCUUCUGACGCUGAGGCGCGAAAGCCAGGGGAGCAAACGGG